GAUGAACGCUGGCGGCGUGCCUAAUACAUGCAAGUCGAGCGAACGGACGAGAAGCUUGCUUCUCUGAUGUUAGCGGCGGACGGGUGAGUAACACGUGGAUAACCUACCUAUAAGACUGGGAUAACUUCGGGAAACCGGAGCUAAUACCGGAUGAUAUUUUGAACCGCAUGGUUCAAAAGUGAAAGACGGUCUUGCUGUCACUUAUAGAUGGAUCCGCGCUGCAUUAGCUAGUUGGUAAGGUAACGGCUUACCAAGGCAACGAUGCAUAGCCGACCUGAGAGGGUGAUCGGCCACACUGGAACUGAGACACGGUCCAGACUCCUACGGGAGGCAGCAGUAGGGAAUCUUCCGCAAUGGGCGAAAGCCUGACGGAGCAACGCCGCGUGGGUGAUGAAGGUCUUCGGAUCGUAAAACUCUGUUAUUAGGGAAGAACAUAUGUGUAAGUAACUGUGCACAUCUUGACGGUACCUAAUCAGAAAGCCACGGCUAACUACGUG
rnacentral:rRNA from 1 species